GGGCGCUUUCUCCCUUCUCUUUUCGCUUCGCUCUCGAUGGCCUGCAAUCCUCACCACCUCACUAGCAAAAUCCCACAGUCAGUCUCAUCCCUCCGUAAAGUCAGAUCCCCUCACGCUUUGCCCAACAGUUCAAUAACGGCAUUUCCGUUCCGUUACUCUGCUUUCCAUCCAAUCAAAUUCUCCAAUUUCCGUUCUCUAUCAGCUUCAUCUACAGCUGCGGGCACUUCUACCCCCACCACUUUCUCUUGGGACGACGUCGUUCGAGUCUCUCAACCCGAGUAUAACCCGCACGAUUCUUCCAAUCUCCGAGGCUUCUUCGAUAAAAUCAAAGAAUGCAAUCGUGGCUCAGGCAUGCAAUCCGAGUUCCUUCCCUUUGUUAUCGAAGACCAAAUUGUUGGUUACAUACAUCGGAGUUUUGCUGAGAAUUUAAGGAAUUUUCAGAAUGUGUUUAUAUUAUCUAAAGGUAAUUGUGGUGGAGGUCACGUAACGUUGCAUCGAAUGUUAAACUCAGCGGAGGAUAGAAGUAGAGCAGUGGGAGAAGUGAUCAAAUGCUUGGCUGAAAAAGAAUUGAUUCCAGGUAUAAGGAAUGAGCUGUACCCCGUGACAUCAUCGUUUGGUGCACCGGUCUUUUUCUCCCUUGAACGUGCUGCUGCUCCUUAUUUUGGAAUAAAGGCUUAUGGCGUUCACAUGAAUGGCUAUGUUGAAAAAGAUGGGCAAAAGUUUCUAUGGAUAGGAAAAAGAAGUCCAGUGAAGCCUACUUUUCCUGGAAUGCUUGAUCAUCUAGUUGCUGGAGGACUGCCUUAUGGAAUUGCCUGUGGAGAGAAUCUUAUGAAGGAAUGUGAAGAGGAAGCUGGAAUACCAAGAUCCCUAUCCAGUAGAGCUAUACCAGUUGGUGCUGUUUCAUAUGCAGAUAUUGAUGGGCACAGAUUCAAGCGAGAUGUCCUAUUCUGUUAUGAUCUAAAACUCCCUGAAGGUUUUGUACCAAAUAAUCAAGGCAAGUGCAUGGAAGCAUCACUACUUUCUGUUGAAAAUAGGACGAGUUCAAAUUUUAUCAGAUUGAUGGAGAGGUAGAAAGCUUCAAGUUGAUCCCUGUGGCACAUGUUGCUAAUGUCAUAAAAAGGACACAUUUUUUCAAGUCAAAUUGCUCCAUUGUCAUAAUCGAUUUCCUGUUUCGACAUGGGUUCGUAAGUCCUGAAAGUUUUGGAUAUUUGGAUCUUCUACAAAGUUUGAAGAGUGGAGAUUGCUCCUAAUUGUACUUCCUUGUGAAAGACAUCAAAAGCCAAAGCCAUCUCAUGUUUCUUUCCCAGAAGAAAGCUUCACUCAUGUUGGAUAGGUGUAUAAACAGGGUUAUGGAUUCUGCAAAACUUCAUCAUCAAUGUGUUGUGAGAUAACAAUCUUUGCUUGAAUGUAAACUGUGAUCCCAGAAGCAUUUAGUGUCAUUUUCGUUUUCAUUUCCU